rnacentral:lncRNA from 1 species
GAGCGACCCUCACAAACAUGUGCGAAUGAGCACAAAUGGCAAGCAAGCAAUGAUCCGUCUCAAGAACCAAGUCCUCAUGUCUAACAACAUGGAAUAUAUCAAGUAUCUCAAUGGCCUAUCUCUAUGUCAUCAUGUCUCUAACAUGGAAUGUAGCAGAUAUAUAGUGGCCUAUCAACAUGUCUCUACGUUGCAGUUUAAUAGUUUACUAGUUUCAAGUGCCCCUUAAUGACACUUUUGUUCAACG